rnacentral:rRNA from 1 species
UACGGAGGGUGCGAGCGUUGUCCGGAAUCACUGGGCGUAAAGGGCGCGUAGGCGGUCUGCUAAGCGUGCGGUGAAAGCCUGGGGCUCAACCCCAGGUCUGCCGUGCGAACUGGUGGACUAGAGCACUGUAGAGGCAGGUGGAAUUUCGGGUGUAGCGGUGGAAUGCGUAGAGAUCCGAAAGAACACCGGUGGCGAAGGCGGCCUGCUGGGCAGUUGCUGACGCUGAGGCGCGAAAGCGUGGGGAGCAAACAGG